rnacentral:misc_RNA from 1 species
GAUGAAGAACGUAGCGAAAUGCGAUAAGUAAUGUGAAUUGCAGAAUUCAGUGAAUCAUCGAAUCUUUGAACGCACAUUGCGCCCGCCAGUAUUCUGGCGGGCAUGCCUGUUCGAGCGUCAUUUCAACCAUCAAGCCCCCGGGCCUGUGUUGGGGACCUGCGGCUGCCCGCAGGCCCCGAAAACCAGUGGCGGGCUCGCUGUCACCCCGAGCGUAGUAGCAACACCUCGCCCAGGGAGUGCCGCGGGCACCGGCCGUAAAACCUCGCCCUCGCGCGAGAAACACCCCAAAGGUUGACCUCGGAUCAGGUAGGAAGACCCGCUGAACUUAAGCAUAUCAAUAAGCGGAGGA